UCCGCCCCUCGUCUGUUCCUCAGGUCUAGUUCGUGUUUUGGUUCUCCCUGUUGUGUUCACCUGCGUCUGAUUAAUCCUCGAUUGUUCUGGUUAUUUUAGCCCUGUGUUUUGUCGUCUAGUUUGUCAGUUAUUUUGAAUCGCUACAGACGGAGAGAUUGAGACAUAACAGGAAAUGCCCUAGACAUGCAUAUGUGUGAUUAUGCAAGAAGACGUGUACGAGACGAUCAGACAGAGGUGACGGCUGAGAUGAAAAAACACCAAAGCAGAAGUGGUGCAAGGCGAGAGAAAUAUAAGUCUGUCUGUUGCAAAGUUAUGCUUUAGAUCUCACUCGCACUGCGUUGUGAAGUGACAUCUCCAGAGCUCUGCAUUAAUAAAAGGCCACAGGGUAACGCACUGGAUCCUGUCUCUUCUUUCCUGCAUCAACGGACACGACAGACGUCAGUGAAGAGAGUUACAGUCGUG